GGCCUUGUGCCGGCGAUGGCUCAUUCAAAUUUCUUCCCUAUCAACUUUCGAUGUUUGGGUCUUGUCCAAACAUGGUGGCACGGGUAACGGAGGGUUAGGGCUCGACCCCGGAGAAGGAGCCUGAGAACGGCUACUACAUCCAAGGAAGGCAGCAGGCGCGCAAAUUACCCAAUCCCGACACGGGGAGGUAGUGACAAUAAAUACUGAUACAGGGCUCUUUUGGGUCUUGUAAUCGGAAUGAGUACAAUUUAAAUCCCUUAACGAGGAACAAUUGGAGGGCAAGUCUGGUGCCAGCAGCCGCGGUAAUUCCAGCUCCAAUAGCGUAUAUUAAAGUUGUUGUGGUUAAAAGCUCGUAGUUGAACCUUGGGCCUGGCUGGCCGGUCCGCCUCACCGCGUGCACUGGUCCGGCCGGGCCUUUCCCUCUGCGGAACCCCAUGCCCUUCACUGGGUGUGCGGAC
rnacentral:rRNA from 1 species